AUUGAGUGGCAUAUCCCGGCAUACCAGAUACCGGAAAUAAAGAAAGGUAUGAGAAAGACUCGAAGCAGUGAACCUCGAGAACGAACCGAGUCCCAGAUUGGCCAGGCGGAGGUCCCACGCUGGCGUCACCACUCGAGGGACGAGGCGCCGCGCGGUCACGUGGAUAUCUGAAUUGCGCGUUAAUCACCUCAGUAAUUGAACACCGGUGUCAUUAGUUUGUGUAGUGGUCGUUAAUUGUACUUUGCAGUAGUGCAGGCAAAGGAAGCGUUAGACUCUAGCUUCCAUGGAGCUGACUUUGCCGUGGGUACUGAGCGCUGGCAGCAGGGAGUGUGGUGCUGGAGGCCUGGUGUUCCCUGUCUGAGUUACUCCGUGGCGACGCCGGACAGCAGUAGGAGCGAGCCGAAAAAAAUCCUAUCCCACAAACGAAAUGUCGUCUAAAACCUCCAAUAUCUCACCCUGACUUCACUCAACGUGGCGGUGAGUAGCAGCGUCCGCCGCCUGUCACUGGACUGCCUACCUCCACUAAUGACCGACUUGGUGACGCCUGACGCCUCCAAGUCCCUGAUUUCUGUUACACCUCCGCUCAUCACAUCAUGACCUGCCGUGCCUGUCUUCCUGAAUGGCAGCCGCGAUGUCUUCAUCUUCAACCUGCGCCUCAUUUCCUGCAAACUCGUACGUCUUCUUGAGCAGCGGGUUUGCAAGCGAGAUAAAAAGAAAAGGAAAAAAGGACAAAAGGAAAAAUAAAGAAAAAGAAAAAAAACGAAGAGAGAAAACGGACAGUAGGAAGCGAACUGAAAUGCUGAAACGAUAUCGAAUGAAAAUAAAUAAAUAAAUACUACUUUUCAAAGACGGAUAUUCAAGUGCAAGAUGAGCCUUGAAAUUUUCAUAUUACUAAACAAAUACUUAAAGAAUAAAAAAAACUUUUGAUCAAUAAGGGCUUCAAUUGUAAACACCCAUUGAAAUCUU